UCUUAACUGCAAUUAAGAUCAGCUCGAACCGUUAAUGCUCAGCCGUUGGAUCUGCGGCGGAGGCGGGCGGCGGAAGCAGAGGUGGUUGUGCUCUGCUCCGGCCCGACGGACUCCACGAAGGCGGCGGGGGAAGGAGAUGACGCGGGGGAGCGGCGGAGCUUGGAGACCGCGGAGAGGAAGCCUCUCGGCAGCGGCGGCUUCUCGCCUUCUCCGCGUUGAGGGCCACGACCGCCGAGGCCGAGCCGUCGACGCCGCCGGCAAUUCGUCGCGGUGCAGAGUGCCGACGCUGAUCUAUCCUCGGCGAGGCGGCGACCGGGACGACUCCCUCGACUUCUCCCCAUCCGGCCGGCGAUCGCCGUGAGAACGUACGUAUCCACUACUAGUGUUUUAGGAGUAGUUUAUUUAUUACGAACUUAGUAUAGUUACUGGAUCUGAGAAUUUCAGUAUUUCACUUCUUGAUUCCUAUUUCAGCCUUGCAAUUUACUUGCUCCAGCAAUAUGAAGUGGAAAACAAUUGAUUUUGCUCUUAUAUAAGCCGGUUGUUUCAAGCCGUGUCAACUCUACAGAAAAUCCUAACCCAGCCAAUGUUCAUCAUGUUGAUCCGAUUGAAUUGCAAAUUCCAGUGCUAUAUUUUAGAAGCUCAACCAUCUAUAACGAAUAACUUAGCGUGUGUUUGGUUCGACGGAUUUGGUGGGUUGGGCUGGGGCCAUCUCGUGUUUUAGGUGUUUAAUUGGGUUGGACUGGAUCAAAAGGAAAUAUUAUGCAUAUAUUUAUUCGUGAGAAAACUGGUGGAUAUAUCCAAAAGGGAUCGUUCCAUCCCUUUAUAUUCCUCAAACCAAACAAAGAAUAGGACUCACUUCAUCCCUCAAACCAAACAGAAAAUAGGAUCAUCCCAUCAAAAAAUCAGGGAUGGACCUAACCCAUCCCUCUCCGUCCACAAAUCAAACACGCGCUUAAGAUAUUGGCUUUUAAAAUGAGUGUUUCAUUUACCUCUAUGCUUUGAGGUGAUACCUGACUAUCUUAUAGAGGAGAUUGCUGGGUUAAGUGAAACGUUCAGGCAGUGGUCACUUGAUUAAAGUACAGUAUAUCAGAAAAUAGCGUAUGCUAUUCUUCGACCUCCCGGUGAUCGCCUCAGCGUGUCACAGUUGUAUGCUACUCUUCUUCUAAUAUAUUGAUGUGUAAAGCUUUUGCGCGUUCGCGAAAAAUAUCAGAACAUAGUGAAUACAGUAGAGAUAAUAAAUCGACAGUAGAGUCAUUAAUCUAAUCUCCAUGCUAGAAGUAUAUCCCAUUUUACACCGACGGCUGUAUACUAGAUACACUUAAUACUUGUAUUGUAGAAACAAAUGUAGAGUCACCAUCUCCGCCAACGCCAACGAGGCAACAUCUCAUGUUCUCAACAGUAACUAACGUACACAGUGCUGGCCUGGUGCUGGGCCCCCAUGCUAAUGAGAACUUCAUGGAUAGAACGGAAGCAUAGAUUGAAGUGCUUUGGUUAAUUCCUCUUCAGUGGGCAACUCCUGCAUCAAAUUGAGAAGAUUGUAGCAGGAGUCAAACUCAACACUUGAAGGGUGACAGGAAAAUUGGAAAUGCCUGUGGUUGCUGCGAGUCUAGCUGGCAAUACUAUAAAAAGUCCACAGGAUUGUAUACAGUAGAAAGGUGUGAUCGUACACAGGGCUCACAUUUUUGGACCAAAAAUUUUGAAAUUCUCCACAUGUCAGGUUUACUGGGUCUCUAACUGUGGGAACGUCACAUCAGAAUCGCAAAUCUUCUCCAACCCAUCCAGGUAUGCAAAGCUUAGAUACCGUAGGCAUGGGAAUGUCGGAACCGUUGACUUGUUCAUGUUGUGCCCAAAGGCUUGCGUGAUACUGUUGCAGUAACUUACCUCUAAAUGUUGAAGUUUGGACAAAUACAUUGUACAAGAGAUGUUUUUUAGCCGGUCGCAGAAGGACACCCUCAAAACAGAGAGGCUGGGAAACAUAUCAUGUGGACUUAGUCGGAAGCACUUAAUAUGUUUUAACAUUUUUAGAUUAAACAACUCGAUCUUCUUGAGAGCCUCGAAACAAUAAUUCGGUGCUUCAGCGCCUCUAAAAAUUUCUAUUACGUUCAUGUCGCUAUCUGAAACCUCCAGGUAAUUUAAAGUAGUUCCAAGCAAGUUGUCUUGAAAAAUACUUUCCGACAGCCGGAACAAUGCACAUGACUGUUCCAUUUUCCGUAGAGCAACUAGCCUUAACGGGAGGUUACAGCAUUGGCUUAGUAAUUCAUACUGGAAUGAGCCUUCAAUAACAAUAUCGACUUCUUUCAAGUUAUUUAUGGCACCCAACUCAGGUAAUAUUGUUGGGACAUACUCCACUGGAGACAUCGUUAUUCCUUCUCCGAAAUACAUAUUCAACAAGUCUAGCACUUGCAAUUCUGUCAGACUAGAUAUGACCCCGUCUGGUAUUGUCUUUAUGUUGGUACCUUGCAGAUACAAGAAUUUGAGUUUAAUGAGGAAUCCAAGACACUUGGGCACUUCAGAUAUUGAAAAGUUGUAUGACAAAUUGAGGUACUCCAAAUUUGUUAAGGAGCAUAGUUCUUCUGGUAUAUUCUCGAGUUUGUUCCAGCUCAAAUCAAGGUGAGUAGUAUCUGAUGUCUUCACUACAAAAAUGGCAUCUUCCCACCGCUUCGGAUCUUUUCUCCCGCGCAUUUCCUUGCCGAAAUGUAUCAACUGUGAUGCAACACCUUUCAGUUCCUUCACGAGUUCUUUGGCAAGAUCUCCGAUGUGGGGAUCAGAAUAGAGACCCUUGUGACCAUUAUAUUCCAUAAACAGCUCGCGUGCUUCGUCGUCCUCUAACACCUCCACCUUUACAUGUGUCGUCACAUUCAUCAGUUCGCAUAUGGUUGGAGACCUUGUUGUGAUUACCACUUUCUGCUUAAGUUGGCCUUCGUUCUUAAGGGGAUAUGGGAUACCAACUGAUCCCAUCUCCAGCUCUCCUCCCCAGAGGUCAUCCACUAAUAGGAGGAAGCUUUUCGCCUUGAGAAAUCGCACUAUCCUGUUGGCCCGUGUGACCGAAUCACCGUCUCGAUUCAAGUUGAUCCUCUCCAUGAUCUGAGUCUGGAUCGUCUGCACCGAACACCCUCUUGUCGCUGUGACAAAGAUGACGAGACGAAAGGUAGAGUCUCCGACAAAGUUGUUGUUGAUUCUCUUUAGGAGGUGUGUUUUGCCGACUCCACCCGGACCGCAUAUCCCGAUUAUCGCCGAUGGCCCCUCGGUGAUGCACCGGAGCGCCUCCUCGAGUAUACUCUCCUGGCUAUGAAUCUGGACAGACUCGAUCGGGAUGUUCACCGCAGCGAGUGCGGGGGGAUCGAUUGUGAUCGGGCUCGGAACAACCUCGUACGAUCUCACAAUCGCGAGCCUCUCCGCUGCACGCUUGCUGAUUCUGUAGUUGGACCAGAGAUUGAGGGAGCAGCCGCCGAACAUUCUGCAUCUCUGCUCGUAGCGUCCACGGAUCGUGUCUGCAGAGAGCCUGGCACUCUCCACUCUGUCCAGCCAUUGCCGUGCUUCAUGGGUUGGGAUCAUUCCGCCGUCCCGAUCAGCAGCCUCGAUCUGUCGAGCAAUGUCGUGUCUCCUGGCGACCAGAUCAUCCGUAUGCGUGAUGAGAUCCUGCACAUUCCUACGGAUGUUGAAGGGGAGCUAUGAGGAAAACAUCGUCGGAGAUGGAGAUCUAAUGGCAUAAGAGGCGCUGGAGAUGGAGUUAUAAGGCGAAGAGACUUUCACAUAUACUACCUCCGUUUCAGAUGGGAUCAUCAGAACACAUGGGAGCGAGCGAGAACGAGAUGGAAUCUGCCAUCGAGGGGGAUCCGCUGCAUACAUCAACCGGCUGGAAUUGUUUUUUUUUUUUUUCACCAUCGAUCAAGAUUAAGUUUCCGACGGAGAUGACACCAAUCAGGGAAAGGUUCGUUUGCAGAUGCAGAGCAAGGGAAGUGGUGCCGGACUAUCCUCGCCAAGCAUACUGCCCCGCUACCACAAGGAUGUGCCUGCAAAUCCCUAUCCCAACAAGUGCAACCCCAUAAGUCUGUGGCAUGUGACAUGCAUCAACCGUCGAAAAGAAACACGGAAAGUCAAGGUCAGUGUAAUGGAACUCUGGGAUGCCAUAAAUCCCAACAUCAACAAAAUUAUUAGCCGUCAACAUUAUACGGAUUGAUGAAGAGAUUCUGAAGAGACAGAUACUCUAGAGUUUUUCCUGAAGCAACGCACUGCUGGGUGCUGGCAUUGCUGCUCCAUUCUACAAUUCCAAUGACAUGGUAAUACUGAAGACAGCAUGUGAUGGCGCUUCUAGCCAAAUUAAGGUGCUAGCUGGUCGUUGUUCCGUCC